rnacentral:rRNA from 1 species
CCCCAGACUCCUACGGGAGGCAGCAGUGAGGAAUAUUGGUCAAUGGGCUUACGCCUGAACCAGCCAAGUCGCGUGAGGGAAGACUGCCCUAUGGGUUGUAAACCUCUUUUGUCAGGGAGCAAUUGGCGCUACGUGUAGCGUUAUCGAGAGUACCUGAAGAAAAAGCAUCGGCUAACUCCGUGCCAGCAGCCGCGGUAAUACGGAGGAUGCGAGCGUUAUCCGGAUUUAUUGGGUUUAAAGGGUGCGUAGGCGGAAUGCCAAGUCAGCGGUAAAAUUGCGGUGCUCAACGCCGUAGAGCCGUUGAAACUGGGGUUCUUGAGUGAGCGAGAAGUAUGCGGAAUGCGUGGUGUAGCGGUGAAAUGCAUAGAUAUCACGCAGAACCCCGAUUGCGAAGGCAGCAUACCGGCGGCGAUCUGACGCUGAGGCACGAAAGCGUGGGUAUCGAACAGGAUUAGAUACCCCUGUA